rnacentral:rRNA from 1 species
UACGUAGGGUCCGAGCGUUGUCCGGAAUUAUUGGGCGUAAAGGGCUCGUAGGCGGUCUGUUGCGUCGGGAGUGAAAACUUACAGCUUAACUGUGAGCGUGCUUCCGAUACGGGCAGACUUGAGGUAUUCAGGGGAGAACGGAAUUCCUGGUGUAGCGGUGAAAUGCGCAGAUAUCAGGAGGAACACCGGUGGCGAAGGCGGUUCUCUGGGAAUAUCCUGACGCUGAGGAGCGAAAGUGUGGGAGGCGAACAGG